rnacentral:lncRNA from 1 species
UUAUCGUGGGAUGCAAUGCUAUAAACAAAUAUAUAAAUCGAUUAUCCCAUGAUUUAUGCAUUGCAACGUGCGAAUUAGGAUAUACAUUUUUUAACAUAUAAAUGUAUCUCGGCAUCUGUCUAUAACCAUCCACAGGUCCGCCCCUCAGCAAAGCGAUGGCACGCUCCUUCGCACUCCAUGCUUUCAUAUAAUUUAUAUCCACACUAUAUACAACUUUCAUUUCUUUAAUGAUGUCCCCCGAUGUGUGCCUUCUCAUAUAGUUAACUAGUUUUGGAGCUGUGAAUUCACAUACAAAAGAAGUUGUCGCCAAAAUAUUCUGCAGUACCCUAUCCCUCAAAUUGCAUGUAUUUCUGGAUUAAAUUUUCGAAUCAUAAAAAUAUCUGUUUUUUUGUAACUAGAUGCUUCCAACUUCCACGUAUAUUUCUCAUUGUAACAGAGGAGUACAUAGCUGAAAUAUAAAAAACACUAUUCAAAUGAUUAUAUUUUGC